rnacentral:misc_RNA from 1 species
AAAGUCGUAACAAGGUAACCGUAGGUGAACCUGCGGUUGGAUCAUUAAAAAGAUUCAAAACUUUUCCAAGAGCUCUCGGGCUUGCGGAAAGUCUACUUAUCCAGUAGGCACAUCUUGUGAACUGUACUGUCUCUGGCGGAUGGAUAGAGCACUGGCAACGGUCUUUAUCUGUCAGCUUGGAUCGUUAGAUCUGAGCCGUGGACAAGCCGCCAACCACUUGUUUCAACCUAAGUAUUUUUUUUUUGUCUAACAUAACCUUGUAUAAAUAUACAAACAACUUUUGGCAACGGAUCUCUUGGCUCUC